AGAGUUUGAUCCUGGCUCAGGAUGAACGCUAGCGGCAGGCUUAACACAUGCAAGUCGAGGGGUAACAUUGAUUGCUUGCAAUCAGAUGACGACCGGCGCACGGGUGCGUAACGCGUAUACAAUCUACCUUUUACAGAGGGAUAGCCCAGAGAAAUUUGGAUUAAUACCUCAUAGAAUUAUAAGAUGGCAUCAUUUAAUAAUUAAAGUUUCGGCGGUAAAAGAUGAGUAUGCGUUCUAUUAGCUAGUAGGUAAGGUAACGGCUUACCUAGGCGACGAUAGAUAGGGGUCCUGAGAGGGAGACCCCCCACACUGGUACUGAGACACGGACCAGACUCCUACGGGAGGCAGCAGUGAGGAAUAUUGGGCAAUGGAGGCAACUCUGACCCAGCCAUGCCGCGUGCAGGAAGACUGCCCUAUGGGUUGUAAACUGCUUUUAUACGGGAAGAAACCCAACUACGUGUAGUUGGGGGACGGACNGA
rnacentral:rRNA from 1 species